AUAAGAGACAAAGUUCAUUGUGUUCUCAGAACAGAAGAAGCCUGACCCCGGGAAACAACAUCAGAAGAUACUUGUUGUCAUAACCACACUGUGAAGAACUAAGACCAAGAUAACCACCGACACUCUUGGGGCACCAUCAAAAGGUACUAGAGCACCAAGUCAUGAUUUUGAAAACUAGAACAUACCCUAGUUGGUGAAAUGAAGAUGAAACUUUGAAGUCACCCAGACUGGAGUCAAACCCUGUCACUUUGUCUCUGAGUGCCUCCGGGAGCCAGCUCUCUGAUGGAGAGGAUGCUUGCCUCAUGGGUAACCAGAGCUGUUAUUAUUAAAUGUCUGAAAUGAGAGUCCAAUUCACAGUUCUCCCCUUCUUGAUUCCUUCCAGGGCAUCUCCCACUGUCUGCGUGCCACCUUCCUUGGCUCUCUCAGAUGCAAGCCAGUGUGUCUCCCUCAUCUCCCUCAUUCUAAGCUCUGUAAUGACUUCUUUUGCAUUGUGUAUCACCCACAAUGCUGGUGGAGAGGUGGGUAUGUGUAUUCAUGCAGACAAAAGGAGAUGGCAAGCAGCAUCACAAUGGACAAAAUUAACUUCCCCUUUGUGGUUAUUAUUCCUGGGAGGGACUAGACACGUGAUGUUACUCAGCACUUCUUUUCAAGAGAGGGAAACUCAACUUGGAUUGGCUUAGACGAAGAACCAGAGAGACCAGACUCUCUUCUGUUUCUCCUCUCUGCUUCUCUGUGUGUGUGUGUUGGCUCUCUCCCUAGGGCUGGUGGCCAGGCCAGAGAAGGCUCCUCCCCCUUGGACCAGAGAUGGACUGACACCCACCCCGCUCUCCUUGGUGUCAAGUUUACAGUCCUGGAGGUCAAAUAAAAAUAUGUGUGCUGCCUCCAAAGACCGCACUGGCUGGGUAGGAGUUCACAACCUUUGAGCUAGAAGAUUUCAGGCCUUUCUUCGCAAUUCGGCAAAUGAAUCUGUGACAUUUUCAGUACGGAGACUGAGGCAGCAGAGACUGUGUGGUCCAGGGACACAAGGUCCCCCACUGGCAGUUGACCACACCAGGAUGUCAUACAAAGAAGUCUAGUUCUGGAGUCCUCCAUUCAGAGGUGUGGAAACCAUCACGGAGUGGGCAAAGAAAUUUGGCUAAGGUCACAAGCCAGGACAAGGAAGAGCUGGACUUCAAAUCAGGUUGUCUGAUUCCACAGUGGCAUUGCCACUUACUCUAACUCUUGGAAUAACUUGGAGGCUCUCACUUGUCUUUGCUUCCUUGUUUGCUCUUGAAAUGUUAAAAUAUGCGGAGA